rnacentral:rRNA from 1 species
AGAGUGAACGCUGGCGGCAGGCCUAACACAUGCAAGUCGAACGGCAGCACAGUAAGAGCUUGCUCUUAUGGGUGGCGAGUGGCGGACGGGUGAGGAAUACAUCGGAAUCUGCCUAUUUGUGGGGGAUAACGUAGGGAAACUUACGCUAAUACCGCAUACGACCUACGGGUGAAAGCGGAGGACCUUCGGGUUUCGCGCAGAUAGAUGAGCCGAUGUCGGAUUAGCUAGUUGGUGGGGUAAAGGCCCA